GUGCUCACUUUGGCAGCACAAAUACUAAAAUAAGAAUGAUACAGAGAAAAUUAGCACGGCCCCUGCACA
rnacentral:snRNA from 1 species